rnacentral:misc_RNA from 1 species
AAACGGCCUCGAACAUGGCGAGAGGAAAAUCUCAGAAUAUGGGAAUACGAAAAUCUCAGCCGCUACCAUCAAUGAAAAUGAUGAAGAGGUUAAAAAAAAAGAAACUAAUUGAUCCCUUCACUAAGAAAGACUGGUACGAUGUUAAGGCACCAAGCAUGUUUGUUGUGCGACAGAUUGGGAAGACCUUGGUCACCAGAACUCAAGGAACCAGGAUUGCUUCUGAUGGCCUGAAGGGGCGAGUGUUUGAGGUCUCCCUGGCUGAUCUUCAGAAUGAUGAAGUAUCCUUCAGGAAGUUCAAACUGAUGGCUGAAGAAGUUCAGGGACGCAAUGUUCUGACCAACUUCCACGGCAUGGAUCUGACCCGUGACAAACUCUGCUCUAUGGUCAAGAAAUGGCAGACCAUGAUCCAGGCUCAUGUUGAUGUCAAGACCACUGAUGGUUACCUUCUUAGGAUGUUCUGUAUUGGUUUCACCAAGAAGAGGGUGUAUCAAUUGAAGAAAACUUGUUAUGCUCAAAAUGCACAGAUCAAAACCAUCAGAAGAAAGAUGGUUGAUAUCAUCACUAAGGAAGUGACAUCAAAUGACAUGAAAGAAGUGGUCAACAAAUUAAUCCCAGACAGCAUUGGCAAGGAAAUUGAAAAAGCCUGCGAAGGAAUUUAUCCACUACAUAAUGUCUUCAUCUGUAAAGUGAAAGUGCUGAAAAAACCCAAAUUUGACUUCAGAAAAUUAAUGGAAAUCCAUGGAGAGGGGUAUAGUGAAACCAAGAACACUGUCACCGACUUUGGUGAAGCUGUAGCGCGGCCCAUGGGGUACGAACCUCCUGUCCAACAAUCUGUAUAAACUGACAUUUUGGUGAAAAUUUGAUACAUAUAGAUAUGUAAUACCGGUAGUUAAAUCUCAGGUCAUAUAUUCUGUAUUACGAUAAUUAAGAUUUGUGGUGUUUCCAUGGAUAUGGAAUCUGAAAAAUAUUUAGUACAUUCUAAAUGAAAACAAAUUUGUUGAACUGGAAAUUAGGCUUCAUUUGACUUUCUUUGUGUAAAAAAUAUUUUUGAAUUAUCCCAAGGAAAAAUUGCAUUUUAAAGGAUACAAAUGAAAUAGAGAUAAAUUAACCUACUUGUCCUGUCUCAUGGGAUACAUGUACUGAUAUCUAAGUUCUUUUUUUUAUGAAACCAUAUAAUAUUUUGUUUUGUAAAAUGUAUCUUGUCUGGCCAUCUAUCCAUGGAAUCUCCUGGUCUUGAAUCUUCAGACUAUACUGUGUUUCCUCGUAAGGUGAGGUUUGCAGCUACAGGGAGAUAACUCAGAUUUUCAUUGUGACUGCAUUCACGAUAUCAUUUACUGGGGUUUCAUCAAUAUUCGUUGAAAACCAAUUUUCGUGGAUUUUGUUAUUCAGUUGAUCCACGAAAUUAAGUGUUCAUUGAAGUGCAAUUUCUAAUAACAUUUUGUAUUGAUAAGGCCACUGGCCACAAAUUCAUGUUUCCUUGAAACUGUGAUUUUCACUUUAUCCACGAAAAUUGAUACCCUUGAAUAUUAAUAAAACCACAGUAUCCUUCAAUAUUCAGAUAUAUCAAGAUUAUAAAUAUGACAUAAACUUGUUUUGUUUUUUCUCUUUCCUUUUUUGUAGGCGUUGUAGUUUACUAUAAAAAAGGAACAUG